CUAACUGAAUAUUUCGUCGAUUUUUAAAGAUUCGGGCCACUCACCUUCAGAGAAGGAGAAGACAGUCGUUCAGCUGCGUCACCGACCUCCAAGGCUUUGCGUAACCAGUUGUACGUCACGGAAACUGUGUAUAACGUCAUCAGCAUUGCUGCGGCUUCAAAUUCUGGGCACGAGUGAGAGGUCAGCAGGUCAGAGCACAGAGACUGAUGACGUCACUUCCAGCUACACAAGCUGCUGUCUGUGCUGGUAAGGACUGAGAGGCAAGACAGAAAACAUAUCAACAACUGUACAGACUUUGGAUUUUGAUAUGUACCGAGGAAACUUCCCGCCAAACCCGUACGGUAGCGGUGUGCCUGGGUCCCGCGGACCCCCACCGAAGCCGUUUCCCUCCCCACGCGGACAGGCUCCACAUUGCAGUCCGCAUGGCGGACGGCCCCCUCCUUUCUUUAGAUCUCCUCAGAUGUUUCCCCCCGGUCAGAGACAAGGUUUCGGCCCGCCUGCUAUGGUUAACCCGCAACCCCGAUUUCGGCCGUGGUCCGGAGACGGACCUCCGAGGUCGAGUUUUGGGAGGGGGGCGUGGGGCAGGGGGAGGGGAGAUCGGGGGCGGGGUGGGUACAGACCAAAAUUCCAAGACAACUCGCAGGGUUCAAGAUCAGGGCCCAGACAUCAGGAGAGAGAAGCAAAGUUUAACCCUCAGCAGUAUUACAAGCACAGCAUGGCAGUCGACCCGUGGCAAGGACUGGAACCAACAGCCAUGAACAUACCAGAAGCACAGAGGCACAUAAAGGGGAAGAGUAGGCGAUACUUUGCCUGUUGAAUGUCAGGAGACAUUGCUCACUCAUUGGACAAUAGGGGCAUAACUUGUGAAGGUCAGAGGACAGCAACCUUUGACCUGUAAGUCAGGUGGCCAGGAUAUUCAAGUGCAGCUGUUUUACCCCUUGAUGAGGGAAUGGCAUCAGUGGUCUUACUCUAACAACCGUGGACAUACCUCAAGUCAACACACAAAUCUAACCUCACCGUGGCAGGGAAAACUGUUACACUUUUCUGCAAUGUAUCAGCUUUUUUUUGUGCAAGACAACAAAAACUAUGUCUUCUUUGGUUUGAGGUAUCUAACAACCUGUAAUGAAUCUGCUACAAUGAACUAUUGAGACUACUUUAUAUUGAUGCUGAUUUGGGAUCUGUAUACUUGUUCUUGUAGUGUGUUUAUUUUUUGGUUGCUGGCAGUUGAAAAUCAUUUACUUUUCAAAGUCAAAAUCUUGACUCACUGAUGUUUAUCUAGGACUAGUAGGAGGUUGAAUUUACCAAUCGUUAUGUCAUAGUGGGCACUGUAAUGCAAUGAAUGCUCUUGUAGAGGGAUACUAGUAUUAUGUUCCCAAAGAUAGCGUGUAGAAGCAGACUGAAUCAUCAAAAAGUGAAGAUAGACAACUACUAUCUGAUAACCUUUAUUUUAGCCAUUGCCUUUGCUUUAUCUGCCUCUGUAGCUUAUAAACUUUUUAGAUGCAUGACAGUUAUUGUGUGGCAGUAUAUAGAGUUGUUUGUGAUUUUAUGAUGAUACCUACUAACUGAUUUGUUUGGUACAGUAGUCAGUAGAUAGAGAUGUUUCAAAAAGUAAAAUGUACUCAGGCAGCAAUUCUACAUCAUAAUGAUGUGUAAAAUUAUUCUUU